GAGCUGACAAGCAGGAGGAGAACUGACUUUUUACAUAGACAAUAUGCCUCUCAAUCUCCACUUAUACUUUGGGAUUCACACCUACCAGCAAGGGUCUUCGGGAUACGUCUGGGACUAACGUCUUCUCGAGAGCACAAUACAAGUGGCCAGAGCUUCGUCUGCCCUUCUCGGGGUGGGGUACACCGAUCCCACCGAGGUCCCGCUGCCCGCCUUGGGCAAGGCUUUCGUCGUAGUUUCAUCGUCCAGAAAGACACGUUGAACUAGAAUCAAAUUGUUCUUGGUACGAUGCGAAUUCCUGGCAGCGACGCUUCACCGCCCGCUCCCGGCUGGGCGGACCCUACGCCGGGCUAUUUCUCGGGGUACCAGCGCCCUCGGCCGGCACUCGAACCCUG
rnacentral:lncRNA from 1 species